ensembl:lncRNA
CGGGGGCUCUCGCGGGGCCCGGGGGCUCCGAGGGGCCGAGGGAGCGCCGUGCGGCCCCGAGCCCCCUCCCUCCAGCCCGGCUAUUCAGUUUUCCCCCUUCAAAGUUAGCCCGGCGCGACUGGCAGAAGCGGCGCAGGGCUGCGGGUGGAACCGCGUCUGAGAAGCCGGAUCGACGCGCUGCUGAGUCCGGACCGCACUGGAGGCGAAGGCGGGGAGUGCAGUGCGGGUACAGCCUCUCAGGCACUACCCGACCCGCCGCGGCGCACCGGCACUGGGGCUGGUGAGCACGCUGUCUGUGCACCUGGCAUGCGCAAGGAUCUACCCCGAGUUCCCCUGGCUCACCGCAGAGACAGGACCCGCCUGGAACGCGCCCUCCGGGAUCCUGGGGGGCCACGCUGGCCUUUUCGAGGCCUGUUGGGGAGAAAGAGGGGUCGCAGGAGGGAGUUUGAGUUGCUGUCAAGCGCCGCAGCCGUCAGAGUAUCCGGCUGAGCGGGAAGGCAGUCCUCCAGCCUGCAGAAGACGGGGGAGGGGAUAGAGGCUGCCGAGACGAGAGCUUGCUCCCUUGCACUGUGGUUGGCUUCAGAAGGUUUGAGGGGCGCGUGUGUCCAGGAUCGGAGGUGGACACGGAGUCACCCCCACUGAGCAGCUGGACUGCGGACUUCUGCGUCUCAGAAAUUAAAGUUACCAAUGCAGCCCGAGGCUCCACAUCAAGUCUGUGAAAACCGGCCGAUGGAAAUUUGCUCAAGAAAAUAAAGGUUUGUCUGUCAGUUUCUCUUUUCUUCUUCUCGGGUAGUGGAAGGAAGAAAGGGAAGGAGAAAGCGCCCCAGACGUGGUCAUUCAUCCGGCUCUUGGCCAGUGACUCUUCAGCUAAGAGCCGCGGCAGCCAUCCUCCCGGACCGUCACCCCCAUCCUCCUUCCCGAGCAGACCUGUGAGCCCCCACCCCCACCCCCGGCGCAAGCAGGGUCCCUGACCGGGUUCGGUUCGCUCUUGUCUGUUGUCUGUUAAUCAAAUGGGAUCUGUGGCGCAGGGACUGAGCCACCCAGAGGGCUGGACACAUUUCGUUGCCCCUCACCCAACACCAUUGGAGAAUUUAGCUCUCUAUAAAUAAACUGUACAUUUGAGAAGAGCAGGUGGGCGGACGCCGCCGCACCGCGCCAAGCUAGGAGAGCUGCGAGCCCAGCGGGAGCUGCGGAGCUGGUGCGCAGUCUACGUUGGUCGCCGGCAGCUGGAGCCGGCGCGGAUGUGCGGGGCUCCCCAGCUUUCCUGCAGUGCCUCAGUCCCAGGGGGCUGUCAGCUUCUCUGGCGGUGGUGGCGACGGUGGCUGGCGUGUGCCGGUGCCGAGAAGCGGGAGGCCGGCGUGGCCGGGGUUGAUAUCAAACUCGGCUUCCCUUCUGGACUGAAGGCGCCCUGGGGACAGAGGGGGACUCCUCCCUGCCCCGUCCUGAUUCUCUUAAUUAAGGUCACGGGCUGGAAGAAUCAAAAGUAAUUCUCUGAACUGUUGGGAUGUUUUGUUUUUUUUCAUCAUAGAUUGGGGGUGGAAGAGGGCUGGCUUCUGAAUUCACAAUUCUUGAAAGAGUGCAUCACCCUUCUGAGUGAAUCGUCUUGGAUAUUUGGGAGUCUUGGAGGUGCAGGUGAACAACAGAGUUGUGACUCGAGGGAACCGCGUGGCCCGCCUGCUUUUCUGCAGACCCUGCCUGCCGGAGGAGAGUGACAACAUGGCAGGCAACGCGGAUGCACCUCACAGGCUCCGCAAAGAAGGGCUCCAUUUGAUUUAUCACAGUUAUUUACCUUUGAUGUCAGUGAGUGGGAAUGAAGUGCAUCUUGGUCUAAUUAAAACGGCCUAAAAGGCAUUUGAAAUGGGUUGCUAUCUGAUCACGGGAUAUGAGUUCGGCGUUUGGCAGCGUUCUAAAAUAUUGCUUGGACUAUUUAAACAGAACAAUUAGC